rnacentral:rRNA from 1 species
UAAGGUCCCCAAAUAUAUGUUAAGUGGAAAAGGAUGUGGGGUUGCUUAGACAACCAGGAUGUUGGCUUAGAAGCAGCCACCAUUGAAAGAGUGCGUAAUAGCUCACUGGUCGAGUGACCCCGCGCCGAAAAUGUACCGGGGCUAAACAUAUUACCGAAACUGUGGAUGAACCUCUUUAGAGGUUCGUGGUAGGAGAGCGUUCUAAGGGCGGUGAAGUCAGACCGGAAGGACUGGUGGAGCGCUUAGAAGUGAGAAUGCCGGUAUGAGUAGCGAAAGAAGGGUGAGAAUCCCUUCCACCGAAUAUCUAAGGUUUCCUGAGGAAGGCUCGUCCGCUCAGGGUUAGUCGGGACCUAAGCCGAGGCCGAUAGGCGUAGGCGAUGGACAACAGGUAGAGAUUCCUGUACCAGUGCUAAUUGUUUAACCGAUGGGGUGACACAGAAGGAUAGGGAAUCGCACGAAUGGAAAUGUGCGUCCAAGCAGUGAGUGUGAGAA